rnacentral:rRNA from 1 species
UAAUACGUAGGUGGCAAGCGUUGUCCGGAUUUAUUGGGCGUAAAGCGAGCGCAGGCGGUUUCUUAAGUCUGAUGUGAAAGCCCCCGGCUCAACCGGGGAGGGUCAUUGGAAACUGGGAGACUUGAGUGCAGAAGAGGAGAGUGGAAUUCCACGUGUAGCGGUGAAAUGCGUAGAGAUGUGGAGGAACACCAGUGGCGAAGGCGACUCUCUGGUCUGUAACUGACGCUGAGGCGCGAAAGCGUGGGGAGCAAACAGGAUUAGAUACCCUGGUAGUCCACGCCGUAAACGAUGAGUGCUAAGUGUUAGAGGGUUUCCGCCCUUUAGUGCUGCAGCUAACGCAUUAAGCACUCCGCCUGGGGAGUACGACCGCAAGGUUGAA